rnacentral:rRNA from 1 species
ACGCUCGACACCUACUGGAGGCAGCAGUGGGGAAUAUUGCACAAUGGAGGAAACUCUGAUGCAGCGAUGCCGCGUGAGGGAAGAAGGUUUUCGGAUUGUAAACCUCUGUCUUUGGGGACGAUAAUGACGGUACCCAAGGAGGAAGCUCCGGCUAACUACGUGCCAGUAGCCGCGGUAAUCUGAGCGGGCUGGCAAGGC